rnacentral:rRNA from 1 species
GACGGAGGGGGCUAGCGUUGUUCGGAAUUACUGGGCGUAAAGGGCGCGUAGGCGGCGCGGCGAGUCGGGCGUUAAAGACCUGGGCUCAACCCGGGGGGUGCGCUCGAUACUGCCGUGCUCGAGACCGGGAGAGGAGAGUGGAAUUCCCAGUGUAGAGGUGAAAUUCGUAGAUAUUGGGAAGAACACCAGCGGCGAAGGCGGCUCUCUGGCCCGGCUCUGACGCUAAGGCGCGAAAGCGUGGGGAGCAAACAGG